rnacentral:rRNA from 1 species
GACGAACGCUGGCGGCGUGCUUAACACAUGCAAGUCGAACGGAAAGGUCUCUUCGGAGAUGCUCGAGUGGCGAACGGGUGAGUAACACGUGGGUGAUCUGCCCUGCACUUCGGGAUAAGCUUGGGAAACUGGGUCUAAUACCGGAUAGGACCGCAUGCUGCAUGGUGUGUGGUGGAAAGUUUUUAAUGGUGUGGGAUGGGCCCGCGGCCUAUCAGCUUGUUGGUGGGGUGAUGGCCUACCAAGGCGACGACGGGUAGCCGGCCUGAGAGGGUGUCCGGCCACACUGGGACUGAGAUACGGCCCAGACUCCUACGGGAGGCAGCAGUGGGGAAUAUUGCACAAUGGGCGCAAGCCUGAUGCAGCGACGCCGCGUGGGGGAUGACGGCCUUCGGGUUGUAAACCUCUUUCACCAUCGACGAAGGCCUGCUUUUGGGUGGGUUGACGGUAGGUGGAGAAGAAGCACCGGCCAACUACGUGCCAGCCGCCGCAGUAAAAC